rnacentral:rRNA from 1 species
UACGUAGGGAGCGAGCGUUGUCCGGAAUCAUUGGGCGUAAAGAGUUCGUAGGUGGCACGUUAAGUCUGGUGUUAAAUGCAGAAGCUCAACUUCUGUUCGGCACUGGAUACUGGCGAGCUUGAAUGCGGUAGAGGUAAAGGGAAUUCCUGGUGUAGCGGUGAAAUGCUUAGAUAUCAGGAGGAACAUCGGUGGCGUAAGCGCUUUACUGGGCCGUAAUUGACGCUGAGGAACGAAAGCCAGGGUAGCAAAUGGG